UACGUAGGGGGCUAGCGUUGUCCGGAUUUAUUGGGCGUAAAGAGCGUGUAGGCGGCUUGGCAAGUCUGCUGUGAAAACUCGAGGCUCAACCUCGAGCUGUCGGUGGAAACUGCUUGGCUAGAGUCCGGAAGAGGAGAGUGGAAUUCCUGGUGUAGCGGUGAAAUGCGCAGAUAUCAGGAGGAACACCGGUGGCGAAGGCGGGUCUCUGGGCAGUAACUGACGCUGAGGAGCGAAAGCGUGGGGAGCGAACAGG
rnacentral:rRNA from 1 species